rnacentral:rRNA from 1 species
UACGUAGGGGGGCAAGCGUUGUCCGGAUUUAUUGGGCGUAAAGAGCGUGUAGGCGGCCAGACAGGUCAGCUGUGAAAACUCGAGGCUCAACCUCGAGACGUCGGUUGAAACCGUCUGGCUAGAGUCCGGAAGAGGAGAGUGGAAUUCCCGGCGUAGCGGUGAAAUGCGCAGAUAUCGGGAAGAACACCCGUGGCGAAGGCGGCUCUCUGGGCAGUAACUGACGCUGAGGAGCGAAAGCGUGGGGAGCGAACAGG